AUUCUAGGUUAGGUGAAAGUUUGAAGUUUCAAUAUGGGAUACUGCAACACGUGAUAAAGUGAAUCUAUCAAAAGUGUCAAAGUGUGGAUAAAUGAAUGUUUUGAAGUGUUUACCAUGUUAUAAAGCUAUAAUAAAGUGUAAAGGAUAAACGUUUUCACUCGCCAGUUGUGACUCAGUUUUGAAGCUGUGACUACAGGUUCUGAACAUCCAUCCUUGAUAACUGAUUACUGCAACGACAUUCUACUAUUUAAUCCAAUGGAACAUAAUAUACAAUAAAAUACUAUUCAAGACAAUCGCUUACAGCAGUAGCAGAAGGUGAAAUAGUCAUCACUUGGAUUAAAACACUGUCACCACAUGAAUCUUGAAGGCAAGCCGCACCUUGGUCAUCCUUGAGCUUAGGGUAGUUCAGAGGUCGAAAGCCCUCUAUCCUCUCCCACUUGCUGAAGCUCAACCCAAAAAAAAGAUCAGGGUGAUGCAGCCCAACCUCCAAGUCAGGCUGCAAAUUUGACAAUUUUUGCAUCUUACACAAGCAUGGGAUGUUUUCGUAUAGUGCAUAGACAGUUCAGCUCGUUGAGUCGUUCGAGAGAGGUAGCUAAACAGUCGCCACCAAGAUCAUGGAGGAAGCUGGCAGCAUCUGUGGCAGUUAUAGGUUGUGGCUCGACCGCCUACUACCAAACGCUCACCAAUCAGGAGAGACGUGUACUGAAAGUGACGGCUGGCGGUGUUGUCAGAUUCAUUAGGUCUUCGUGUGUAGGUGUGGCGAUUUCGGCCGACUACUGGUGGUCGCUGAGAGGCCUGGACGAGGGCUGCUCAGAGUACGACGAUGUGAUUGCCGAAGUCCAUCAGCGGUCAGCUGAUCGCAUGUUGGCGGGGUGUCUCGCCAACGGUGGCCUCUACAUCAAGCUCGGCCAGGGCAUUGUCUCCAUGGACCAUGUUCUGCCCAAACAGUACACCACCACGCUCAAGGCGUUGCAGGACAGGUGUCUGACUCGAGAGAAAGGCGAGGUGGAACAACUGUUUGCUGAGGACUUUGGAAAAUCAACGAGUGACGUGUUCUCAGAAUUUGAAGAGACUCCAAUUGCCGCUGCAAGCUUAGCGCAGGUAUACAAGGCGAAAACGAAAGAAGGUAAGAGUGUAGCCGUAAAAGUGCAAUACAUCGACCUGCAGGACAGGUUCACAGGAGACAUCAGAACAUGCCAGCUACUAUUGAGAGUGGCUGGAAAAGUAUUUCCAAAGUUUGACUUUGAAUGGGUUCUAAUGGAACUCAAGGAUACAUUAGAACAGGAACUAGAUUUCCUCAAUGAGGGAAAAAAUUCAGAACGUUGUGCCAAAGAUUUGAAGCAUUUCAAUUUUGUCUAUGUGCCUACUGUUUUUUGGGACUUAUCUACAAAGAGAGUAUUAACAACAGAAUUCAUUGACGCUAUCAAAAUAAACGAUAAAGAGGGUCUGUUGAAAAUGGGUCUAUCGUUAGCUGAUGUGGAUGGCAAACUGUUUAGAACUUUCGCUGAACAGAUUUUCCACACGGGAUUUGUUCACGCUGAUCCUCAUCCAGGAAACGUUCUUGUUCGCAAGGGGAAAGACAAGAAAGCAGAACUAGUAUUGUUGGACCACGGCCUCUAUGAAGACGUACCAAGCACAGUUCGCAAAUCACUGUGCAGCUUAUGGAAGUCAAUUAUCCUCAAUGACCAUAACUCCAUGAAGAAGUACUCUAUGGAACUGGGUGUCGAUGAAUGCGACUACCGUCUGUUCUGUGUAGCCCUCGUGCAACGGUACAUACCCGAUCCGAACGAGCCAGGCAAAGACAUUUUCAAGUUGCUAUUCAAGCAUCGCGGUGGCUCAGGCAUAUUUCGCGGCCGAUCCGAAGCUGAGAAAGAAAGCAUACGUCAGCAGAUCAUGGACGUGCAUGAUCGCAUGCUGGUCGUGUUUCGAGCCAUGCCAAGCAAACUCAUGCUUGUCACUAGAUUACAUGAUGUUCGCCGAGAUGUUGACCCAGUGUCCGCUGCGGAGCAAUAGAUGGCGUUUGUCACUAGCCCUCAACCAGGACGAACUCAAGUACUUGGGCAAAGCCGCUCAGAAUCACUUUGAUCAAGUCACAGCUGUGCUUAAAGUCAUGCCCAAACGUCUCAUACUUGUCAUUCGGAAUAUCAAUACGAUUCGUUCAAUAGCUCGAGGCCAUGGUGACCCGGUGGAUCGGUACAUGGUGAUGGCGAGGAGCGCCACUCAGGGAGUCUUCUUCACUCAAGGCCAGAGUCGGCUCGCUCUCAGGCCCUACUUGGCUCGGAUGCAAUUCGAGAUGAUACUGUGGUGGAGUUACUUCAGAACAAAGUUCUAUGGUUUUGUAUUGGAUGCAGUUUCUUUAGUAAUGAGGAAUGAUUUUGCGAAAAUCAGAUCACAACUAUGUUAGAUGGUGAAUGCGAUUCCUACAAGUUUCCAACUUGUUGACUA
rnacentral:misc_RNA from 1 species